CAAAAACAUCGCCUCUUGAGUUAAAAAUAAGAGGUCCAGCCUGCCCAGUGACUAAUGUUCAACGGCCGCGGUAUCCUAACCGUGCGAAGGUAGCGUAAUCACUUGUUCUUUAAAUGUGGACUAGUAUGAACGGCAUCACGAGGGUUACACUGUCUCCUUUCUCUAAUCAGUGAAACUAAUCUCCCCGUGAAGAAGCGGGGAUAUGAUUAUAAGACGAGAAGACCCUAUGGAGCUUCAAAGUUCUCUUCAAACGCCAAAACUCUACCAAGUCAAAGACUCCUGCACAAAAUUACGCGCCAUGAAGACAACUUUUAGGUUGGGGUGACCAUGGAGUAUAAAACAACCUCCACGCUGAACAGGCCUCUAAACCUCGAGCAAAGGACCACAACCCUCCGCACUAAAAAAUUGACACACAUUGAUCCAAUGAAUUUUGAUCAACGAACCAAGUUACCCUAGGGAUAACAGCGCAAUCUACUUCAAGAGUUCCUAUCGACAAGUGGGUUUACGACCUCGAUGUUGGAUCAGGGUGUCCCAGUGGUGCAGCCGCUACUAAUGGUUCGUUUGUUCAACGAUUAAAACCCU
rnacentral:rRNA from 1 species